rnacentral:rRNA from 1 species
AUACAGAGGGUGCGAGCGUUAAUCGGAAUUACUGGGCGUAAAGCGCGCGUAGGCGGCUACUCAAGUCAGAUGUGAAAUCCCCGGGCUCAACCUGGGAACUGCAUCUGAUACUGGGUAGCUAGAGUUUAGGAGAGGGAAGUAGAAUUUCAGGUGUAGCGGUGAAAUGCAUAGAGAUCUGAAGGAAUACCAGUGGCGAAGGCGGCUUCCUGGCCUAAAACUGACGCUGAGGUGCGAAAGCGUGGGUAGCAAACGGGAUUAGAAACCCCGGUAGUCC